rnacentral:rRNA from 1 species
UACGAAGGGUGCAAACGUUGCUCGGAAUUAUUGGGCGUAAAGCGCACGUAGGCGGCAUUGCAAGUCGGAUGUGAAAUCCCUCGGCUUAACCAAGGAAGUGCAUCCGAAACUGCAGAGCUUGAGUACCGGAGAGGAUGGCGGAAUUCCCCAAGUAGAGGUGAAAUGCGUAGAUAUCUGGAGGAACACCGGUGGCGAAGGCGACAUCCUGGACCGGUAUUGACGCUGAGGCGCGAAAGCCAGGGGAGCAAACGGG